CCAACCAGUAAUAUAUUUCACAAAGAGUAUGUUAAAACUUGAUCAUAGCAAUAGCAAUAGAAUCCAAAGGCCAUUUCACUGAUGGAAGUAACAUAUUACAUCAGAGAGAAUAGUGGGAAGCACACUCAGACAACCAUUACAUGACAGUGUCUCCUGAUCAAGACAGGUUCUGCCAGCAACUGACAAAUGAAGAUGUGGAUACUUGGAGCCAACCAUCAGACUGAGUGUGGGGACCCUGGUAGGGGAGCUGCCAGAAGGACUGGAGAGUAAACUGCGAAAGAGUCAGAGGAAUGAAAGAAGGUCUCCUUUUCCCACCCUCCUCAGCAUCCGGGCAGCUUAAACGGCACCAUGAUGAUGACGUUUCAGGUGACUUUAGCCUUACAGGAUGCCUCGUUAACUGGACUGCUUUGGUAUCCUUGAAGUGUUUGAGAGUGGACCGAGCUGCCACUGCCAGCUAACCUGUGAACUGAACAGCUGAUUUCCAAACAACACAGACUGGAGUUGUUCCAAAGAACCUCUCUAAACAGAUUCAGUGAUGGCAUGGAAUUUUCCAAAACUGAAGGCCCCAUGAGCAGAGAACAUCCUCU